CAACCCUCAAGCCCCCGGGCUUGGUGCUGGGGAUCGGCCGUCACGGGCCGGCCCCGAAAUCGAGUGGCGGUCUCGCUGUAGCCUCCUCUGCGUAGUAGCAACACCUCGCACUGGAACGCGGCGCGGCCACGCCGUAAAACCCCCAACUUCUGAA
rnacentral:misc_RNA from 1 species